rfam:Flavobacterium succinicans strain DD5b FLB_contig000070, whole genome shotgun sequence.
UACUUUUGCACCCGUCUUGCAAUAGCUGUGAGUCAUACAUAAAAAUCAUUUAAAUAAUAUUAGCAUG